rnacentral:rRNA from 1 species
AGGGUUUGAUUAUGGCUCAGGAUGAACGCUAGCUACAGGCUUAACACAUGCAAGUCGAGGGGCAGCAUGGUCUUAGCUUGCUAAGGCCGAUGGCGACCGGCGCACGGGUGAGUAACACGUAUCCAACCUGCCGUCUACUCUUGGACAGCCUUCUGAAAGGAAGAUUAAUACAAGAUGGCAUCAUGAGUUCACAUGUUCACAUGAUUAAAGGUUUUCCGGUAGACGAUGGGGAUGCGUUCCAUUAGAUAGUAGGCGGGGUAACGGCCCACCUAGUCUUCGAUGGAUAGGGGUUCUGAGAGGAAGGUCCCCCACAUUGGAACUGAGACACGGUCCAA